GCGAUCAUACCAUAACUAAUACAUCGGAUCCCAUCAGAACUUCACAGUUAAUCGUGCUUGGGUGAUAGUACUAUUAAGAUGGGUGACCCCCUAGGCAGUCCUCGUGUUACCCCCU